rnacentral:sRNA from 1 species
UAUCGACGGAUCGAUACGGCGCUCAAGGAAGAACGCAGACGGACAUCGCGGGAAGCGAUUCAUCAGGAUGAUGAGAAGGAACAAAAGGGACUAGGGAAAAAAUGUGGGCGGGUCAAACCGCCCCUUUUUU